rnacentral:rRNA from 1 species
UCCCCUUCGGGGGUGACGCUUGUGGAACGAGCGGCGGACGGGUGAGUAACACGUGGGCAACCUGCCUGUAAGACUCGGGAUACCCCGGGAAACCGGGGUAAUACCGGAUAACAGGCCCUCCACAUGGAGUCUGGAACUAAGAUGGCUUCUCGCUAUCACUUACAGAUGGGCCCGCGGCGCAUUAGCUAGUUGGUGAGGUAACGGCUCACCAAGGCGACGAUGCGUAGCCGACCUGAGAGGGUGAUCGGCCACACUGGGACUGAGACACGGCCCAGACUCCUACGGGAGGCAGCAGUAGGGAAUCUUCCGCAAUGGACGAAAGUCUGACGGACGUAACGCCGCGUGAAGGAUGAAGGUUCUUCGGAUCGUAAAGUUCUGAAAGUCACCCACAGAACAAGUGCCGUGCGAAUAGACCCGUCACCUUGACGGUAACUGACGAGGAAGCCCGGGCUAACUACGUGCCAGCAGCCGCGGUAAUACGUAGGGGGCAAGCGUAAUCCCGAAUUAUUGGGCGUAAAGCGCGCGCAGGCUGUUUUCUUAAGUCUGAUGGGAAAGCCCACGGCUCAACCGUGGAGGGUCAUUGGAAACUGGGGAACUUGAGUACAGAAGAGGAGAGUGGAAUUCCACGUGUAGCGGUGAAAUGCGUAGAUAUGUGGAGGAACACCAGUGGCGAAGGCGACUCUCUGGUCUGUAACUGACGCUGAGGCGCGAAAGCGUGGGGAGCAAACAGGAUUAGAUACCCUGGUAGUCCACGCCGUAAACGAUGAGUGCUAGGUGUUAGGGGGGCUUCCACCCCUUAGUGCUGAAGUUAAACGCAUUAAGCACUCCGCCUGGGGAGUACGGSCGCRAGGCUGAAACUCAAAGGAAUUGACGGGGGGCCGCACAAACGGUGGAGCAUGUGGUUUAAUUUGUAAGCAACGCUGAARAACCUUACCAGGGUCUUGGCAUCUUCUGUGACAACCCUGGAGACAGGGCGUUUUCUUCGGGGAACGAAUGAAAGAUUUGUGGAUGGUUGUCAUAUCAGCACGAAACGGGAGAUGUUAGUGGUUAACUCCCUUCAACGAGCGCAAGGGGUGACCUUAGUUGCCAGCAUUCAGUUGGGCACUCUAAGGUGACUGCCGGUGACAAACCGGAGGAAGGCGUUUAUGACGUCAAAUCAUCAUGCCCCUUAUGACCUGGGCUACACACGUGCUACAAUGGAUGGUACUUUAAAAGCGAAGCCGCGAGGUGUAGCAAAUCCCAUAUUUCCAUUCUCAGUUCGGAUUGCAGGCUGCAAAACGCCUGCAUGAAAUUGGAAUCGCUAGUAAUCGCGGAUCAGCAUGCCGCGGUGAUUCGGUUCCCCCACCUUGUACACACCGCCCGUCACACCACGGGAGUUGGCCCCAG